UCCCUGGCAGUCCAGUGGUUAAGACACUGUGCUCCCAAUGCAGGGGGCAUGGGUUUGAUCCCUGUUUGGGGAA
rnacentral:tRNA from 1 species